rnacentral:lncRNA from 15 species
CUCUAAGUAUACAAUGAACUGAAACGAUAAAGGGAUCAAAACGACCUUGCGACACAGGGCGCUCUUCAAGAAAGGGCAUCAAGUUUAGUUAAAAAUGAAGGAGCUGCCUCAAGACUCUCAUCAUUUUAGUUUCAAGCAUGUAUCGCCUUAUUUAGAUUAUAUUGGGAGGGACGUUUAUGAGUUUAGACAGUUCUCCUCCUCCUAACUGAAGGAACUGUCUAAAAUGCUCAAAGCUUAAAACUGUGAAAAGUUGCCAUUUUGUGUUUUUGUAUAUUAGGGCUGUCACUUUUUAAUCAAAAUUUGAACUCCUGUACAAAAAACAAAAAACAAUAGAAGUAAUAUUUGAUCUGUAAUCAACUGUUUGAAUUCAAAGGCACAACAGGCUAUGCCUUGUACUCCAGCGGGGGGGCAUUCCUUAAAUGCACUGUCUGUCUGUUUGCUGACAUUGUGAAGUGCAACUGCCUCUAACGUUAGCUUGUCACUCAAGUGAGGCAAGCAGAGGCACAGCAAAUGAAUGGAACACGGUUAGACUGGAUUUUGCCUGGCAAAAUGUACUUGCAUCCUGAGGCAAGAACAGAGACAGGAGAGAGUUUGCAGGGUUUUAUACAGGAGCUACAUACUAUAAGUUCCAGAAGAUCGGGCGUAAAGAGGAAGAAAGAUAUCACAUUACAAGGUGGCGUGGAGGCAAGUGGAGUGUGCAACCACCGGGAAUGAAGUGACAGGCUGUGGUGGAGCACAGGGACAGAAUCAAAAGGUGUUCAGAGCUGGGUCGCCGCGGACUCCCUCCUCUUAGAUUAAUAAUCCAUUAGUAAUCCAUUUCACUAAUGAGCACUCAGCGGAGAGUCGGGACCGAAGGGGACACGGAGACGGUCAAGGGAAGCCAAGUGCAUAAUUAAUGUCUCAGCCAAUCAGAUGUGCUAUUACAGUCGCUCCCUGCUGGAAUGAGAUGUCACCUGUUCAAUGAAAUGAGUGCGUUUAUAAUCUUUUCUGUUGAGUGAAAUUAGAUUAUGAGACAAAGUAUUGUAAUUACUGAAAUUGAUGGAACGAGUCAAUAAAAAUCCUGUAAAGAGGCAGGAACAAAAAUGGCAUUUAAAGACGAUCUGGUGUUUUUUUUUUUAUGUUUUUUGCGUAAAGAAAUAUAACCGUAAAUUAUACUGCAUAUAUUGUACAUAAUUGUCCAUUGUUAAAAGGAGAAAAACUAUUUUUGGUUCUAUUUGACUAAACAGUGUCUAAGCUUUCAAUGGCUUUGACUGACAUUUGAGGGCUGGCACUGUAACCUAUGAAUAUUCCAUAUUGAAUAUUGAUACAAGACAGUUUUCCCUUUUUCAACAAGCCUGAAUAGUGUUGUACUGUUAGUAAUUUACCCUUUACAACCUUUGGGAUAACACAUAAUGCUACUAAGUUUGUAUUUUACUCAGAAAGUGAAAGCUAGCAAGCUGGGCAAG